ACCUGCGAACGGGCAUGCUCCGGGCUGUGCUCUGGCAUGGGUAAUUUCUAAUUGACGUGGCAAAGGAGUGAAGACAUUCAAGAGAUCUUGGAAUGCUCAGAUCAGUCGCUUUUAUAAUUUGUAUAAAUGGAGACGGAAAAAGGUAGGUGGAAACCCAAAUGAGAAGACAUGUGUUAGUUAUUGGUGGAAUAUCUUAUUACUGAAUGGACUCUAUUUUUUAAAAUAUAGCUGUGGCAUUGACAUGUUGUGUCCAGACUUACGCCUGGGGAAGACGGGGUUCGCAAAGUACUGCGGCCAGACUAGCACAACAUAAUCCUGAAUUUCGUCUGGAUGAAGGAACCACCUAUGCAGAG